rnacentral:rRNA from 1 species
UACAGGGGGCUCGAGCGUUAGUCGGAAUCACUGGGCUUAAAGGGUGCGUAGGCGGCUCGCCAAGUGCUUUGUGAAAUCCCAUGGCUCAACCAUGGAACAGCAGGGCAAACUGGCGAGCUUGAAGCAGGUAGGGGCUGGAAGAACAGUUGGUGGAGCGGUGAAAUGCGUAGAUAUCAACUGGAAUGCCGAUGGGGAAGCCGUCCAGCUGGGCCUGUCUUGACGCUGAGGCACGAAAGCGUGGGGAGCAAACAGG